rnacentral:rRNA from 1 species
GACGAACGCUGGCGGCGUGCUUAACACAUGCAAGUCGAACGGAAAGGCCCUGCUUUUGUGGGGUGCUCGAGUGGCGAACGGGUGAGUAACACGUGAGUAACCUGCCCUUGACUUUGGGAUAACUUCAGGAAACUGGGGCUAAUACCGGAUAGGAGCUCCUGCUGCAUGGUGGGGGUUGGAAAGUUUCGGCGGUUGGGGCUGGACUCGCGGCUUAUCAGCUUGUUGGUGGGGUAGUGGCUUACCAAGGCUUUGACGGGUAGCCGGCCUGAGAGGGUGACCGGCCACAUUGGGACUGAGAUACGGCCCAGACUCCUACGGGAGGCAGCAGUGGGAAAUAUUGCACAAUGGGCGGAAGCCUGAUGCAGCAACGCCGCGUGCGGGAUGACGGCCUUCGGGUUGUAAACCGCUUUCGCCUGUGACGAAGCGUGAGUGACGGUAAUGGGUAAAGAAGCACCGGCUAACUACGUG